rnacentral:rRNA from 1 species
AACUUUCAACAAUGGAUCUCUUGGCUCUGGCAUCGAUGAAGAACGCAGCGAAAUGCGAUAAGUAGUGUGAAUUGCAGAAUUCAGUGAAUCAUCGAAUCUUUGAACGCACAUUGCGCCCCAUGGUAUUCCGUGGGGCAUGCCUGUUCGAGCGUCAUC